AAACACAACAAAAAUGAUACAGGAUUUCAAAACAAAACAAUAGGAAUCAACAAUGGUUGUUACACUACAUUCAGCCUGUUCUUGCUGGCGGUCAGAUCACCCCCAGCUGGGUGAGGCGAAAACCCUUGGAGACUGUGCUGAUGUAUGGCUCUCCACAGAGCCAUAGCACACGAAGGGGUACACAGUAGAGCUGGGCUACUCAAAUUCCGUGGGAAGGCAGUUAGGACAAAAAUGUCUAAAAAGACUCCUUGGGGGAGAUAAUUUAAAACAAAAAAAUCAAGAAAUACUGUCCUAACGGGAAGCAGAACAGAUUAUACAAAAAUCACAAGGUAACUGCAGAGGGGACAGGGUUUUGAGGAAAGUGAGUCAGGGAGAGGUGACCGUAAGUGCUUAGGGGACUGAGAUGGCUGUGGUGGUCAGGAGGUUUGAGCCAAGACCUGAAUGACAAGGAUUAAGAUAUCCUGGCUAAGACAGGGCAGGUUCCAGCAGAAACAAGUGCAAAGACGCUGAGGUGGGCAGAAGAGGAAAGGUACUUCAGGCUGACGCCCCUUGCAGGUGUGCCAGUCUCUCAUCUUGACCAGGCUGGAAACCCGGCCCACCUGGACAGCACAGACUCAGCUACAUCUCUGCCCAGAGGCAGCCAACUGAACGAAGGUAGGGCCCCUGCAGCUACCUAGAGAAGCCCGGAGAAUAGGCUGGCACAGUGCCCCAAGGGAAGGGGCCCGAGAGCCAGGCGAGAAGGAAUUCUGCUUGGCUCAUCGGUCUUCUAAUUCCUUUCCUCUCCUCUCUAACCUCCCACACCCCAAUGCUUUUUCCUUGCAUGGUGACUUUGACCACGUUACUUCCCCUCUCUGGUCCACAGUGUAACAUUAAUGAGAAGGACAGCUGAGCUUUUCCCAACACUUGAAUGUCUUCUUGUGCCACACACUGAGCUAAACCCUUCACCCUAUUCCCCUAAUUACAUGGACAAUCAUUCUCCCUGGGGAGGUUAUUAUUUUACCCCGUUUCCCCCAUUAGACUGUUUUUUUGUCACCUCUAUCUCUAGAAGCUGGUUCCAUACCUGCAACACAGCUAUACAGUGGAAAUGAGUUUAUUGUGGAUGAACAAAUGAAUGAAUGCUUUCAUUUCGUAACAUUUCUCAAGCACCCCAAUUCACAAAUGGGACUACAGAAGCUCCAGAUUUACGUGGGGUCACUAUCUAGGCAGUGGCGCGACUGAGAUUUGUCUGAGUUCUGGCAUCCUUCUCAUUCAGAUGGCCCAUCUUGUCCCAUCAGUCUGUUAUCUCUGCCCACAGAAAACCUGGCCUCCUUGGUGCAGUGGUGGCUUCCAAUGACAUUUCCUGUGCACUGGCCCCAAAGCACUCUUUAUAGCCCCCUUUGUUCAUCAGUGAUCUCCAGGUGCUGUCAGUGGGUACCACUUGGAACGCAUUACACGCUAAUGGCCCCGCACCCCACACAUGAUCUGUGACCUGACUGAUGCUCACACCAACAACACUCUGCUCAGUUUCUUUUUUUUUUUUUUGAGACAGGGUCUUGCAGCAAUCCUCCUGCCUCAGCCUUCUGACUGUUGGGAUUAUAGGUGUACACCACCACACCCGGCACCUCUGCUCAGUUUCAAAAGCAAAGUACUUCUCCAAGCCUCCACAAUGGGUGAGGAAUAUGUAUUUUUCAGACUGAAAGAGAUCCUCGUUCUGAUCUCUGGCAAAUGGAGGCUCAGAGAUAUCGAGAGUCCUGGCCACAUCAGGAACAUGAAGGAGCCAGUUUUAUUUUAUUUUUUGUGGUAACGGGAAUCAGGAGCCAGUUUUAAAUCUAAGAAUGUUCAGCAGCAAGUCCCAUACUCUGGGCCACAGCUGUGGCUCUGGGUCCCUGUGGGAGGUGAAGUAGCCUGAGGCCACCAGCUGAAUGAGCCAGUUCGGGCCCAGCUGAGAGGAACUGGAUGCCACAGGAAAGGAUGUGACGAACACCAGGAGGGAAAGUGAAACCUUUCCGGCCAGGCCUCAGCAGGGACAAGCUUCUGUGCCAGACAGCUCUUCCUUCCUCUGGGGUGACUCCGAAGUUUGGGCCCACCACUUCCUUCCUCCUUGGUUAUUUCAGGAAAGAGGUAGGUAGCAAAGAGGAAGGGGCUUCUGGCAGCAGGGAAAGUGUCACGGGUGGCUGUCAGGACUGUACCUCGUCCUGGCGUUGUCACUGGCCUGCACAGGCAGGUCCUGAGUCACUUGCAGAGUCACUUUCUGCUCCUGGCCUCAACUUCCCUGAGGGAGAAGCUGAUAAAUGCCUGCUGAGCAGACAAACAAGGCCUUGUUAGGAGAUCCUGGGAGGCAGGGAGGGGGUUGGGGCAAAGGGAGAGGCCUUAUCUCUCUCUGGGCAAGGGCUGCAGGCGAGGGUAAGAAUGAGGUUUGUGGUUGGUAUCCACUUCCCUUGGCUUUCCUGGAGGAGUUGUUGGCUUCCAUGAUGUGAGAGGAACAAGCCUUUCUUCUCUACCUAGGGACAUAGCUAGAUGUGGGCAAUUUGGAGAGGCAGCUCAUCGAGACGGUGCAGAGAGACAGGUGCCAGGUUGUGCUGGCAGAGACGCCUCAGUAGACGCCACAACAAGCUCUUUGAUCUGGAAGCAGGAGCUUCUCCUGCCUCCACGUCAGAAGGCAGUGGUGUAAGGAGGAGGUUAAAGCACUUGGUGAAGCAAGGUCACCUUGGUGUUACUGGCUGAAGAGGAACAGGAAGUGGUUGUGCCGAGAGGAGAUAACACCUCCGCUGGGGAAUCAAGAGCGCUAUCCGGCCCUGCAGUGUGAGCGUCUCCCCAGCUGGCUCAGAACCUGGCGACCAUUCAGAAAGGCAUUCACUGGGGCAGAGUUGUUCAAUGGGCCUCAAGAUCUCUUGCUCUGGGUGCUGGUGACACAACAGCUGGUGUUUACUAGGUCCCUUCUUCAAGGAGGCCAACUGGGCCCAGAGAAGGUGCUAAGAAGAAAAGCCAGCUGCCCCUCUCUCCAUCCCUAUCCUCACUACCUGGCCCAAGUAUGAGGCCCCAAGACAGCAGGCGACUGGGCAAGGCAGCUGGCCUUUGGACGCCAAGCCCUCCAUGGCUCCAGAAGAGGAGUGGAAAUUUAUGGGAAAGUUCCAGAAAAUUCACUGACUACACUUUGCUGAGACAACCAGUGGGUGGCCUUUGAUAGCAGCUACUAAAACUGGGGCCACCUCUCUCUAAACUGUCUCCUCCUGGGAUCCUUGCCUCCCACUGUUCGAGGGCCCAAGCAGCUUCUCCUCCUCCUCUCUUCUGGAGCUGGGUGUUGUGAUGGAGGAGCACUGGGCUGACGAGUUCCCCAGCUCCAUCACUAGUGUGCGCAAUCCCCUGCCGGGGACUGUCCCUCCCCGUGAGAUGAAGGAAAUCAUCUCUCAGGGCUCCUGCUAGGGCGGCAGCACUCGGAGGAAGAUAAAAGUAACUCAAGCACCAAGGACAAACAUGGGAGCAACUACCUGGCUUCAGUCUCUCAGGGGAUUCACAAGAUGCAGAAAUCAGCAUGUAAGGUGAGAAGCAGCAUUCCAGAGCACAAGGACUUGUUGCCACAGAAGCACUGAUCCUUCUCCCCCUCAUAGCCUGCGGAGCUUGCCCUCCGUCCCGCAGGAACCUGGGGGAAGAAGCCAACUCCCAGGCUGGUGAGUGGUCAGACUUCGCCAGGGCGGAGUCCCAGUGGCCUCAACCUCUUCACCCAGCACGGCCUCCUACUAGUCCAGACAAGUCCUGGGUAUUUUCAGCCACCUUUAUCUGAUCGGAAAUGUUUGGAAUUCCAGAGAAAGCAACAGCUCUAGAGGAGUGGGGGUUGGGUGCAAAUCGCUACAACACCCUUCCCUUCUCCCCUCCCUUCCCCCACUACAUCCUAACACACACAGAGAGAGAGAGAGAGAGAGAGAGAGAGAGAGAGAGGGAGAGGGAGAGGGAGAGAGAGAAACCAAAACCUCAGGGCCGAGGCCUCUAGUCUGGCUGCAUUUCUUCCAGUCCAGUUCCUUCAGUCCCUCCUUUUCCUCUCCACCCCAGUGAGCCCCUCCUCAGGGUACAGAACUUCAGGCGGCGCCUGUGAUGGUGCUCAGAGGGAGGGUGUACUCUGCCUGCCGCUGCCCAACAUGCACUACCCGGAGCAUCAAUAAAUUACAGAGAAUGUCAUCACCACUACCACAACAGCCAGCACCUCCAGUUCCACACAGUGUGUCAGGUUUUAAAGCAUCAUAAUCUAUGGGUCACCGAGGUGUCCAGUUCUUCCCCUCCCUGAACAUAUGGGACACUGAGACCCAGACCCUCUGCACCCUGUGUUCUGGCUACAGUGAGAACAGCUGUGCCCACUUCACAGCUUCGCAGCAGGAUUGAAGGGAGGUGCUCAAUACACGUUAGCUGUUAUUACUAUUUUUUAAUAACUAACAGUAAGCCGGGGCUAUAGCUCAGCGGCACAAGAACCUGCCUGGCAAGCACAAGGCCCUGAGUUCCAUUCCCAGUACCAAAAACCAAAAACCACAAAGCUAACAGUAAGUGACUCCAUUUGUGCUUCUCACAGUGCCCCUUAUUUAUGGUAUAAACAUCAACAACAAUAAAAAGCUAAUAUUUGCUGAGUUAAUGUUUACAGCUUGAUUCCCCAAAAUCUUGCAAGUCAUGUUUUCUCUAUUUUGCCAGUGAGGAAACUAAGACUAAGAGAAGUCAUGAGUCUUACUUAGUUCCCGGUUACUAGUGGGGUGUGUGGUUCUGCAGCAUGUGAAAUCGGCCCAUGCCAUGGAACAGACGAAGAGCAGCACUCCAAAGUCCUUUUCUCUGCCAUCCCUCUCCCUGCCAGUGUUUACCAAGAAUCUGCUGCUCCUGGGCACCGCCAAGAGCACUCAAGGGCACUGGAGGGGACCGAGCUGGGAAGCAGCUGCCUCGGUCCUUGAGUACCUGGUGGGGGGUUCCGAUGGCUGCUCUGUGCCUAACGCUCUCCUCUGCAACUCAGCCCGAGAAGGCCAGUAGCUGUAGAGAGAUUCCUCCCUCUCUCUGGUCACAAUCUCAGAAACAAAAAUGAUGCCAACUGCUCUUGCAGCCUGUUAGCUGAGUUUCCUAAGUGCACAUGGCCUCUCUGUAACCCCGGCUGGCCCUAGGAUUUGCAGAGAGGUCCAGACAGGCUGCCCUGCUUAGCUUUGGACACCUGUUUAUUCAUUAACUCUUUAUUAAGUGUCCACUAAGUGUCAGGCACAGUAAUAUGUGCUGAGGGUAAAGCCGGGGCCAAAUUAAAAUUCCCAUUUGUGUGAGUUUAUAACUAAUGAGGAGUGAUAGGUAAUAAACCAAUAUGUCAGAUUGUCGUAAGUGUUAAAAAGGAGAGUAAGUGUGAGAAGGGGAAAAGAGAAAGAUGGAAGAGGGCAGGACUAGAAUUUGUGGUCAGGGAAAUACUGUGAGGAUCUAGGAAAAAGCAGUGAGAGCAAGUGCAAAGGCCCUGUGGUAGGAAUAUGCUAGAGGUAAUCCACACACAGGAAGGAUGCAGUGUGCCGGAAACCAAGUUAAUGGAACAGACCUGCAGUGAUUAGGCCUGGAGGUAGCCAGGGACCAGAUUUUGCAGGGCCUUGUAUGCUACUGAAGGACUUGGGCUUGUCCUGUGGAAGCACUGUGGUGUUUCAAGUAGGGGAGGGACAUAUCUGACUUUAGGCUUAGCAAAGUCCCUCUGGCUACUGGGUGGAGACUCGGGGAAAAGCAAAAGCAAGAGCUCUGGUGAGGAGCUGACACAGUGUCCAAGAGAAAUAGGACGGUGGGCAGCGUAGCCAGUGAGCAGCACUCAGAUUCAGAGCCCACUGUGAAAAGUGGAGCUGAAUGGGUGCCUGACGGACUGGAUGGGGACCAUGGAGCUGCUGCCUCUCUGGCCCUCUGCUUACAAGACACAAGAGAAGAGCCCUUGAGGAAUUUUUUCCAGCACGGUAACUACAGGGACUUGGAAGAAGAAAGACACAGAUCUAUUUCUGCUGCUCUCAUUGAGGCAAACAUGGACAAGACCAAGAGCAGGUGGCUCAGGUGGGGAAGGGGUGCCGAGCUUUGUGUCAGGAGAGAGGGGGCACCACAGCUGUGUGUCCAGAAGGUGCUCAGUGGCUGGGCGACUGACUGACUGAAUGAAUGAAUGAAUAUGCGAGGCCAGGACGUGUGCAGAACUUCUCAGGUCCGUCCACGUAAUGGGUGAGUCUGGCACAAAGGACUCUUCCCCAUCUUUCCUUUGCAUCCUCAGGUUCCGGGCAGAGCCUCAAGUUCCCACUCUGCAUGAGCAGGACUAGGAGGUCUGCACUGCUAUAGCAGAAUGUGAGUGCCAGGAGGAAGUCAGACCCAUCUGCCGCCUCACCCACGACUCCCCCAUCUCUAUUUACUGGCUUUAUCCAUGUAUGACCUGGUGUUUUUCUUUUUUUCUUUUUUUGUCUUUUUGAGACAGGGUCUUGCUAUGCAGUUCAGGCUGGCCUUGAGCUC